rnacentral:rRNA from 1 species
AUUGAACGCUGGCGGCAGGCCUAACACAUGCAAGUCGAACGGUAACAGGAAACAGCUUGCUGUUUCGCUGACGAGUGGCGGACGGGUGAGUAAUGUCUGGGAAACUGCCUGAUGGAGGGGGAUAACUACUGGAAACGAUAGCUAAUACCGCAUAACGUCGCAAGACCAAAGAGGGGGACCUUCGGGCCUCUUGCCAUCGGAUGUGCCCAGAUGGGAUUAGCUAGUAGGUGGGGUAACGGCUCACCUAGGCGACGAUCCCUAGCUGGUCUGAGAGGAUGACCAGCCACACUGGAACUGAGACACGGUCCAGACUCCUACGGGAGGCAGCAGUGGGGAAUAUUGCACAAUGGGCGCAAGCCUGAUGCAGCCAUGCCGCGUGUAUGAAGAAGGCCUUCGGGUUGUAAAGUACUUUCAGCGGGGAUGAAGGGAGUAAAGUUAAUACCUUGGCUCAUUGACGUUACCCGCAGAAGAAGCACCGGCUAACUCCGUG